CACGUAGGGGGCAAGCGUUGUCCGGAUUUAUUGGGCGUAAAGAGCUCGUAGGCGGUUCGGUAAGUCGGGUGUGAAACCUCCAGGCUCAACCUGGAGACGCCACCCGAUACUGCUGUGACUAGAGUCCGGUAGGGGAGCGUGGAAUUCCUGGUGUAGCGGUGAAAUGCGCAGAUAUCAGGAGGAACACCAGCGGCGAAGGCAGCUCUCUGGGCCGGUACUGACGCUGAGGAGCGAAAGCGUGGGGAGCAAACAGG
rnacentral:rRNA from 1 species